rnacentral:rRNA from 1 species
CCCUUAGAUGUUCUGGGCCGCACGCGCGCUACACUGAUGCAUUCAACGAGCCUAUCCUUGACCGACAGGUCCGGGUAAUCUUUGAAUCUGCAUCGUGACGGGGAUAGAUUAUUGCAAUUAUUAAUCUUCAACGAGGAAUGCCUAGUAGGCGCAAGUCAUCAGCUUGCGUCGAAUACGUCCCUGCCCUUUGUACACACCGCCCGUCGCUCCUACCGAUUGAGUGGUCCGGUGAGGCUUUGGGAUCUGAGCGGAAAGAGCGUUUCGCUGUUUCUGCUCGGAAAACUCAGUCGAACCUUAUCAUUUAGAGGAAGGAGAAGUCGUAACA